GUGGCUAGAUGGUUGUUUUAACCCUUUAGCGUCAGGAAUAUAUGUUUGUGUUCCUGACCCUAUAGCGCUCCUUUAAUUAUAUACCAGUUUUCAUGAAGAUAUGAUCCAGGGAAAUACUUUUUCAUGCUAGAAUAUAGGUUUACAUUUGUAAGUGUUUUGAGUUUGGUGUCUAGGCUUCACCCUGGAACAGGGGUGUAUUUACCGUGAGGC